rnacentral:rRNA from 1 species
GACGAACGCUGGCGGCGUGCUUAACACAUGCAAGUCGAACGGAAAGGCCCUGCUUUUGUGGGGUGCUCGAGUGGCGAACGGGUGAGUAACACGUGAGUAACCUGCCCUUGACUUUGGGAUAACUUCAGGAAACUGGGGCUAAUACCGGAUAGGAGCUCCUGCUGCAUGGUGGGGGUUGGAAAGUUUCGGCGGUUGGGGAUGGACUCGCGGCUUAUCAGCUUGUUGGUGGGGUAGUGGCUUACCAAGGCUUUGACGGGUAGCCGGCCUGAGAGGGUGAUCGGCCACAUUGCGACUGAGAUACGGCCCAGACUCCUACGGGAGGCAGCAGUGGGGAAUAUUGCACAAUGGGCGGAAGCCUGAUGCAGCAACGCCGCGUGCGGGAUGACGGCCUUCGGGUUGUAAACCGCUUUCGCCUGUGACGAAGCGUGAGUGACGGUAAUGGGUAAAGAAGCACCGGCUAACUACGUG